UUACGGCCGUAUCACGUUGAAACACCGGUUCCUGUACGAUCACGGAAGUUAAGCAACGUCGAGCCCGGUCAGUACCUAGACAGGUGAUUACUUGAGAAUACCAGGUGUUGCAAA